UGGGGGGUCAAAACCUUGGCUCACAAUUGGGAUUGUGGUUUGGCCGCGCGACUUUUGUCUCCCCUCCCACGACCCAUCGCCAGCCAGCGCGAGCUCUUCCUCUGCGGACGACGGACCGUGACGGCGGAAUACGGUCAGCGGCACUAGGGCCUUCAAAUAUUUGGUAUCCUCAUCGGUGGAAUAAGUCAGGUGUAGAACAGAAAGGAAAGUGGGGAAGAUGGCAGAGCUGCUGAGCAUAGGCAUCCUGAUAGACAUUGUGGAUGAGGAAUGGAUGAGAGACACCCUCCCUAAGGAUGAUAUUCCUCUACCGGCUGGAAUGGCUCCCAGAACUGAAGAUGCUGAAGAACCAAAUCAGGAAAACCAACAAGUGGAGGGGGAUGUUUGGCAUGAUCUUGCCCUGGAGAAUCUCUAAGGCUUCAAUGCUGUGGAAGCUGGUCAAUGUGAAGACAUGUGGUAUCAACCAGUCAAUGUCUCAGGCACGCAAUGCUGGUGGUGAUCUUGAGUCUAUUCUGUUGUUGGCUCAUCUUUGAAUUGCCUGACGAUGGAAUCUUCAAAGGAUGCAGAUACUUCAACAGCUCAUGCCUGCGCCAUGGUUGUGUGUUUCUACUGCAUAAAUUCUUUUUCAAGAAGUUAGACAGUUGUGUCGGGAACAAGGCUGGGUUACGGGUGAAUCUGAAGUCUGUCAGUAUCCAUUUGAGCAUUGCUUAACCUCUUCCAAAGAGGGCUAAAACUUAUUUUGUUUAGGUAUUUUUAAGGUCAGCUUGGAUGAUAUCAAUUUGUUUGGUUGAACUUUGAUCACGAGUUAUUGUUAUUAUUAUUGCUUGGUAUGACCUCCAAUAAAACAGAGGUAGGUUGAUAUUCAUAUAAGCUAUGCUAACAUGCUGGUGAGAACAGAAUCUUGAAAGGUUAGUGAUAUGCAGUUGUGACCGCA